UUCGGUGGCUAUGGCGGUGGGGUCACACCCGUUCCCAUUCCGAACACGGAAGUUAAGCCCACCAGCGCCGAUGGUACUUGGGAGGAGACUCCCUGGGAGAGUAGGACGCCGCCGGAG
rnacentral:rRNA from 1 species